ACUUUGAAAAGCAACGAGUUGAACGAAUUAUUCAAGUGGUCACGUCACUAUUAUACCUACUACCCGCACCCGCCAAAAGUUUACUGUCACUCAAAUACUCAAUCUUUCGUUCUUCUGUUUAAAAAGCAAUAUCAGCUCGACAGUUACUGUAUUUCAAUCUUAAUUAGAUGUAUAUUUGUAAGGUUCUAGCAAAAAUGGAGUCGAAAUCGCAAGCGACGCCUGUUGUAGCUUCGGCUGCAGGCAAAGUUUACAAAGUUCCUAAUCGCUUAGGGCGCGGUGUUCCUGAACUUACAGAUGUAUAUACUAAGAAAUGUUCCUGCAAGAGAGACAAAACAAUAGUUUUUUGUCGUUCAUGUGGCUACUACUGCAAUGGAAGAAUUCGCCUGAUAUGUGAAAAGCAUCCUCGCGUAACGUUCCUCUUGGAUAUAGCAGAAUGUCCACGGUGCCAUUCAUCCUUGUUCCUGGAUGAGUAUUCUGGUGGGAACUCUUAAUUAAUAACGACACAAACUAUUGUAACAACUAUUAUUUACUUAUGACAUUUCUUGUUGUUUUCAAAGUUUUUCUUGAUAUUUAUGUGUGUUGAGCUGAUCAAUAAGUCAUGUUAUACUGAUACUUUUAUUACUUGAAUCAUUAUUGAUAUAAUGACUCAUAAUAAUUUGAACCUGUAUUAAUAUGACUUAUUGUUUUGCUACUUAACUUGGGUUUAACUUGAGUAAGUUUGUUUAUCAUUUAAAUAUUAAUUUAAAUGUGAGAAACUGUUAUUUAGUUCAUAAUGGCAUUGAUUGCCCAUUUCUAAGAGUAAUAUAAGAGUAUUGAAUUUGUUGUGUUGUAGAGAAACAUUGUUUUUUUUUGAGAAAAAAGCCAUUUCUGUUUCUUGAUCUAACAUUUUUGCAACAAGUUGUUUCAACUGUAAUUAGCUAAGUGCCUUAAUAAACUAGUUAUAAUGACA